UUUACGCGAGGAGAAGGAAACUUGCGAGUUGGCCAAAUCGUACGUGACACGUGUCCCCUGCUGCUGUACGUUCCCGAUGAUGGACAGAGAGGCCGUCGUUGGAGCAAACGCCAAACAGAAUGUUCCGGCCGAGUCUACGGGAAUCAGGUAGUUGCUCGGCGGCAAGGGCAGGGACUUUCCUCCGUCGAACAGAAACGCCACCGUUGGGACACGAACGCUGGUUCGCGAGGAGAGAUUGUAACAGGUGUCGAACAAGGCGAAGCCGCUCGUCGAUGGCAGGUCCUUGGUGAGCUUCACGAACGUGUCUCGGAGCGCGUUGUAGGCCUGAGUCUGCAAUCGAGUCACAGCGGUGCCGCAAUCUACGAUGAUUCCUCCUUUUCCACUCCCGUCGACCUCGAAGAUGGAGGGCGGGAUGGCGAGCUUCUCACCGCCGACGCUCAUCCCUGUGAUGCCGACGUAGUAGAACGUGUCCACUUUGCUGUUUUUGAAAAUCGGCGCGGUUACGGAGUCACUUGGCUUGGCAGAGUUGAAUUCGAGAGUCGACGAGUCGACGGAGUCGCGGUUGACGAGGCAGUAAGAGAACGAGGAGGCUUUGAUCUGAGAAGUGAGCGAGAGUGGGCCGCCGCCAAGUCCUAUCAAGCCAGCCGCACCGACAAACAAGCCCUCGUUGUCGUGACCGCAUCCGAUGGCCACCUUAUCCACAGAUCCAGAGUUCCCAAACGACACCGUUUCAGUGGCGAAGUCGCCGACGGUGUACGAUCC
rnacentral:lncRNA from 1 species